AGAGAUGUAGCUCAGAGGUAGAGCACUUGCCUAGCAUGCAUAAGACCCUGGGUUCAAUCUCCAGUACCACAG
rnacentral:tRNA from 1 species